UACGUAGGGACCAAGCGUUGUUCGGAUUUACUGGGCGUAAAGGGCGCGUAGGCGGCGUGGUAAGUCACUUGUGAAAUCUCUGAGCUUAACUCAGAACGGCCAAGUGAUACUGCUGUGCUAGAGUGCAGAAGGGGCAAUCGGAAUUCUUGGUGUAGCGGUGAAAUGCGUAGAUAUCAAGAGGAACACCUGAGGUGAAGACGGGUUGCUGGGCUGACACUGACGCUGAAACACGAAAGCGUGGGUAGCAAACAGG
rnacentral:rRNA from 1 species